rnacentral:rRNA from 1 species
AUUGAACGCUGGCGGCAGGCCUAACACAUGCAAGUCGAGCGGAUGAAGGGAGCUUGCUCCUGGAUUCAGCGGCGGACGGGUGAGUAAUGCCUAGGAAUCUGCCUGGUAGUGGGGGAUAACGUCCGGAAACGGGCGCUAAUACCGCGUACGUCCUGAGGGAGAAAGUGGGGGAUCUUCGGACCUCACGCUAUCAGAUGAGCCUAGGUCGGAUUAGCUAGUUGGUGGGGUAAAGGCCUACCAAGGCGACGAUCCGUAACUGGUCUGAGAGGAUGAUCAGUCACACUGGAACUGAGACACGGCCCAGACUCCUACGGGAGGCAGCAGUGGGGAAUAUUGGACAAUGGGCGAAAGCCUGAUCCAGCCAUGCCGCGUGUGUGAAGAAGGUCUUCGGAUUGUAAAGCACUUUAAGUUGGGAGGAAGGGCAGUAAGUUAAUACCUUGCUGUUUUGACGUUACCAACAGAAUAAGCACCGGCUAACUUCGUG